rnacentral:rRNA from 1 species
GACGAACGCUGGCGGCGUGCUUAACACGUGCAAGUCGAACGGAAAGGCCUCUUUCGGGGGGUACUCGAGUGGCGAACGGGUGAGUAACACGUGAGUAACCUGCCCUUGACUUUGGGAUAACUUCAGGAAACUGGGGCUAAUACCGGAUAGGAGCUCCUGCUGCAUGGUGGGGGUUGGAAAGUUUCGGCGGUUGGGGAUGGACUCGCGGCUUAUCAGCUUGUUGGUGGGGUAGUGGCUUACCAAGGCUUUGACGGGUAGCCGGCCUGAGAGGGUGACCGGCCACAUUGGGACUGAGAUACGGCCCAGACUCCUACGGGAGGCAGCAGUGGGGAAUAUUGCACAAUGGGUGGAAGCCUGAUGCAGCAACGCCGUGCGCGGGAUGACGGCCUUCGGGUUGUAAACCGCUUUCGCUCAUGACGAAGCUUUGUGUGACGGUAGUGGGUAAAGAAGCACCGGCUAACUACGUG